rnacentral:rRNA from 1 species
GACGAACGCUGGCGGCGUGCUUAACACAUGCAAGUCGAACGGAAAGGCCUGCUUUCCCUUGUGGAUUGCGGGUACUCGAGUGGCGAACGGGUGAGUAACACGUGAGUGAUCUGCCCCCAACUUGGGUAUAAGCCUGGGAAACUGGGUCUAAUUCCCGAUAGGACUGCAGGGUGGUGCCUGUGGUGGAAAACGAUUUUCUAGUGGUUGGGGAUGAGCUCGCGGCCUAUCAGCUUGUUGGUGGGGUAAUGGCCUACCAAGGCGGCGACGGGUAGCCGGCCUGAGAGGGUGGACGGCCACAUUGGGACUGAGAUACGGCCCAGACUCCUACGGGAGGCAGCAGUGGGGAAUAUUGCACAAUGGGCGGAAGCCUGAUGCAGCGACGCCGCGUGGGGGAUGACGGCCUUCGGGUGGUAAACUCCUUUCGACCGCGAGGAAGCCACCUGGUUGGAAGGGUGGUGACGGUAGUGGUAGAAGAGGCACCGGCUAACUACGUG